rnacentral:tRNA from 1 species
GGGGAUGUAGCUCAGUUGGCAGAGUGCUUGCCUAGCAUGCACAAGGUCCUGGGUUCAAUCCCCAGCAUCACCA